rnacentral:rRNA from 1 species
GAUGAACGAUGGCGGCGUGCCUAAUACAUGCAAGUCGAGCGAACAGACGAGGAGCUUGCUCCUCUGACGUUAGCGGCGGACGGGUGAGUAACACGUGGAUAACCUACCUAUAAGACUGGGAUAACUUCGGGAAACCGGAGCUAAUACCGGAUAAUAUAUUGAACCGCAUGGUUCAAUAGUGAAAGACGGUUUUGCUGUCACUUAUAGAUGGAUCCGCGCCGCAUUAGCUAGUUGGUAAGGUAACGGCUUACCAAGGCAACGAUGCGUAGCCGACCUGAGAGGGUGAUCGGCCACACUGGAACUGAGACACGGUCCAGACUCCUACGGGAGGCAGCAGUAGGGAAUCUUCCGCAAUGGGCGAAAGCCUGACGGAGCAACGCCGCGUGAGUGAUGAAGGUCUUCGGAUCGUAAAACUCUGUUAUUAGGGAAGAACAAAUGUGUAAGUAACUAUGCACGUCUUGACGGUACCUAAUCAGAAAGCCACGGCUAACUACGU